GACGAACGCUGGCGGCGUGCUUAACACAUGCAAGUCGAACGGAAAGGCCUUUUCGGAGGUACUCGAGUGGCGAACGGGUGAGUAACACGGGGGUGAUCUGCCCUGCACUCUGGGAUAAGCCUGGGAAACUGGGUCUAAUACCGGAUAGGACCGCACUUUAGUGUGUUUGGUGGAAAGUUUUUUCGGUGUAGGAUGAGCUCGCGGCCUAUCAGCUUGUUGGUGGGGUAAUGGCCUACCAAGGCGGCGACGGGUAGCCGGACUGAGAGGUUGGUCGGCCACAAUGGGACUGAGAUACGGCCCAGACUCCUACGGGAGGCAGCAGUGGGGAAUAUUGCACAAUGGGCGCAAGCCUGAUGCAGCGACGCCGCGUGGGGGAUGACGGCCUUCGGGUUGUAAACUCCUUUCGCCAGGGACGAAGCGUUUUGUGACGGUACCUGGAGAAGAAGCACCGGCUAACUACGUG
rnacentral:rRNA from 1 species